UCCGGAGGGAGCUAGCGUUGUUCGGAAUUACUGGGCGUAAAGGGCUCGUAGGCGGCCAACUAAGUCAGACGUGAAAUCCCUCGGCUUAACCGGAGAACUGCAUCUGAUACUGGAUGGCUUGAGUUCGGGAGAGGGAUGCGGAAUUCCAGGUGUAGCGGUGAAAUGCGUAGAUAUCUGGAGGAACACCGGUGGCGAAGGCGGCAUCCUGGACCGACACUGACGCUGAGGAGCGAAAGCCAGGGGAGCAAACGGG
rnacentral:rRNA from 1 species